rnacentral:rRNA from 1 species
UUCCGGUUGAUCCCGCCGGACCUGACUGCUAUCGGAUUGAUACUAAGCCACGCGAGUCAUUGUAGCAAUACAAGGCAGACGGCUCAGUAACGCGUAGUCAACCUAACCUAUGGACGGGAAUAACCUCGGGAAACUGAGAAUAAUGCCCGAUAGAACACUAUAUCUGGAAUGGUUUGUGUUCCAAAUGAUUUAUCGCCGUAGGAUGGGACUGCGGCCUAUCAGUUUGUUGGUGAGGUAAUGGCCCACCAAGACUAUUACAGGUACGGGCUCUGAGAGGAGUAGCCCGGAGAUGGGUACUGAGACACGGACCCAGGCCCUAUGGGGCGCAGCAGGCGAGAAAACUUUGCAAUGUGCGAAAGCACGACAAGGUUAAUCCGAGUGGUUUCUGCUAAAGGAACCUUUCGUCGGUCCUAGAAAACACCGAUGAAUAAGGGGUGGGGCAAGUUCUGGUGUCAGCCGCCGCGGUAAAACCAGCACCUCAAGUGGUCAGGAUGAUUAUUGGGCCUAAAGCAUCCGUAGCCUGCUUUUGUUAGUCUUCGGUUAAAUCUAUACGCUCAACGUAUAGGCUGCCGGGAAUACUGCAAAGCUAGGGAGUGGGAGAGGUAGACGGUACUCGGUAGGAAGGGGUAGAAUCCUUUGAUCUAUUGAUGACCACCUGUGGCGAAGGCGGUCUACCAGAACACGUCCGACGGUGAGGGAUGAAAGCUGGGGGAGCAAACCGGAUUAGAUACCCGGGUAGUCCCAGCCGUAAACCAUGCAAACUCAGUGAUGCAUUGGCUUGUGGCCAAUGCAGUGCUGCAGGGAAGCCGUUAAGUUUGCCGCCUGGGAAGUACGUACGCAAGUAUGAAACUUAAAGGAAUUGGCGGGGGAGCACCACAAGGGGUGAAGCCUGCGGUUCAAUUGGAGUCAACGCCGGG